rnacentral:rRNA from 1 species
GAUGAACGCUGGCGGCGUGCCUAAUACAUGCAAGUCGAGCGAACAGACGAGGAGCUUGCUCCUCUGACGUUAGCGGCGGACGGGUGAGUAACACGUGGAUAACCUACCUAUAAGACUGGGAUAACUUCGGGAAACCGGAGCUAAUACCGGAUAAUAUAUUGAACCGCAUGGUUCAAUAGUGAAAGACGGUUUUGCUGUCACUUAUAGAUGGAUCCGCGCCGCAUUAGCUAGUUGGUAAGGUAACGGCUUACCAAGGCAACGAUGCGUAGCCGACCUGAGAGGGUGAUCGCACACACUGGAAGUGAGACACGGUCCAGACUCCUGCGGGAGGCAGCAGUAGGGAAUCUUACGCGAUGGAGGAAAGCCUGACGGAGCAACACCGCGUGAGGGAUGAAGGUGUUCGGAUCGUAAAACUCUGUUAUUAGGGAAGAACAAAUGUGUAAGUAACUAUGCACGUCUUGACGGUACCUAGUCAGAAAGCCACGGCUAACUACGUG